AAAUUGAAUACAAAAGCCGUAGACAGCAGGUGCGAAUAAGCUUAAUUUCCUGCCGAGGUCUUAUUUAUAAAUUAAGAGCCUUUUCUGUCUGCGGGAAAGGCUUU
rnacentral:sRNA from 1 species